UUUGCACUCACUAUGAAAAUAUUGCACAGCCUUUGCUGGUGCUCAGUAUGUUUGAAAUCAUGGAUACGGUUUCUGGUUGUUCAGUUCUCUAAUGGAGUACAGUGGUUUCAUUAGAAUUGAAUCAGAAGGUAUUCUUGACUUUCUAUGUUAGUUAUGACAUAACUAUCUGGUUCUCUGGAUAUUGUUGAGAGUUCAUGCCUUUUUUCCUUGCCGCGGUUCAUGAACAUGGACAGUGGCCAAGUUAACAGUAAACAUAAACAAAGAUUUCGUGGAGGGGCUCCAUUUGUAAUGGAACUCAAGCUAUUGGAUGGCAUGUGAAUGAAUCAAGUAGAAGAUUUCAGAGAUUCCAUGCUGACAUGUCAGGGUUUGCCUUCAAUGGUAUCAUCAUUUGGGAUCCAAAACGAUGAAAUCGUCCAACUCCUGAACCUAUCAGGCAGCUUGAAAUAGUCAAGGAUGGCUUCCAGGUUUGCACAUUUAUCGAGCAAGUUAUGGAAGAUGAAGCCUAAUGGAAGGCUUCCUGGAGGACUGCUCAGGAGUCAUGGCCUGGCAUCUACAGCUUCAAUUUCACAUUCCAGGGAGUACAUCACCUCCGAUUGGUUAGCAAGCCUCAGCUGGAAUCCGUCUCCUGCUUACUGAUAACCUACAGGGAGCAUUUCUUUGAUUUAACUUGUGCCGCCUGGCAUUUCAAGUGCUCUGCAAAGAAGGAUGAACAUAUUCUGUCUAACGAGAUGGACAUACCUUUUACCUUUGAAGAAAAAUGCAUCAUGUAACAUUUGAGCUAGUGUAUUAUGCCUUCAUGAUUUGUUUCUUGUUCUCUUUUCUUUCUGUCACUGACAUUUUCUGAUAAUUAUUGGCGCCCCAGGCGGAAUGCAUCCAGAAUCAAACUGGUUAGGGGACGGAUGGUUGAAAGUGUAAACCAUCCUCGAGUUCAAGCACAGCCCCAACAUUUUUCGUAUUUUCUUUAACGCUUAAGCAACAUGCCAUUGAUGCAACGAGCUUCUGUACUCUGCCUUGAAUAUCAUUCAAGAGAGCGAUAACGUAGGUUAUGAAUACAAAAGUCAAGGGCUAGUGCAACCUUUCACCCUCCCAAAGGAUGGAAGGUGCACCGGAAGCAACUUCGGAAACUGUGGUUGUAAAGUAAAAACAUUGAAUUUGCAUGCGAGAUCAAGAAUUUCAUUGCCGUUGUGAUUGGA